UCAGAGGGAACAGCUUCGUAAUCCACCACAGUGAGCUGCGGACACUUAGACCUCACCAGUGGCUUACAGGCGAGGUCAUUGAGUGUCUUUUGCAUCCCUUUUCCAAUGAGCUCCAUUUGGGGAGAAUGAUUUAUAUUCUAAAUCAUUACACGGCUGGUGUGAUCCUCUUUGGGAAGAGAGAACAGAUCAGGAGGAACACUUUGUCUAAGAUCAACUUUGACAACUAUAAAGCAAUUGUGUCUUUUGUGAACAUACACAAUUCCCACUGGAAGCUUCU